UGCCAAAAUCUGAGAGAGCAGAGUUGGUUCAAUGCGACGAACCAGAGAAGCUCAAGAAGAGUUAUCGGAAGGUCUAUGGAGACUUUGAACUUUGAACGGAUGAUUGAAGGAGAAACAAUUCGGAACCGUGAAGCUCUGAUACCAUGCCAAAAUCUGAGAGAGCAGAGUUGGUUCAAUGCGACGAACCAGAGAAGCUCAAGAAGAGUAAAAGAAUUCUGUUUUAUUGCUUAUGUAUUGAUCUUUACAUGUAAUAGCUUUAUAUACUGAGAAUUUAUAAUCUAUCUACGGCAACAUAAUAUUUGUACAAUCUGCUUCAUCAAUAUAAACAUGAUUUUAGGGA